rnacentral:rRNA from 1 species
AGGACGAACGCUGGCGGCGUGCUUAACACAUGCAAGUCGUACGGUAAGGCCCUUUCGGGGGUACACGAGUGGCGAACGGGUGAGUAACACGUGAGUAACCUGCCCACAACUUUGGGAUAACGCUAGGAAACUGGUGCUAAUACUGGAUAUGUGCUCCUGCUGCAUGGUGGGGGUUGGAAAGCUCCGGCGGUUGUGGAUGGACUCGCGGCCUAUCAGCUUGUUGGUGGGGUAGUGGCCUACCAAGGCGGCGACGGGUAGCUGGUCUGAGAGGACGAUCAGCCACACUGGGACUGAGACACGGCCCAGACUCCUACGGGAGGCAGCAGUGGGGAAUCUUGCGCAAUGGGCGAAAGCCUGACGCAGCAACGCCGCGUGGGGGAUGAAUGCCUUCGGGUUGUAAACCCUUUCAGUGGGAACGAAUUGACGGUACCACAGAAGAAGCCCGGCCAACUACGUGCCAGCAGCCGC